UACGAAGGGGGCUAGCGUUGCUCGGAAUGACUGGGCGUAAAGCGCGCGCAGGCGGAUGGGUAUGUGCCGUGUGAAAGCGCCGUCCUUACGAUGGCGAGGUCAUGGUAGACAGCCCGUCUGGAGGCUCGAAGAGGUCGGUGGAAUUCCGGGUGGAGCGGUGAAAUGCGUAGAUAUCCGGAGGAACACCAGGGGCGAAAGGCACUCUGCUGGGCCGACACUGACACUGGAGAGACGAAAGCUAGGGGAGCGAAUGGG
rnacentral:rRNA from 1 species